UCAAUCCUUCUGUAUCUCUUUACCAUGGUUGUAGCCAUUUUCUAAUGCAUUUCCCAGCUGAAACUAGCUGCUGUUUGUUUCACUUGUCCUUCAAACCUCUUUCCCACAAUAGUAACCAUUUUCUAAUGCAUUUCCCAACAAAACUUCCACCUACCAUUCUGAUUAACGAACCACAAUCUUAGCCAGAAAAUAACCGUUGCUGACAAACCAAUUAUACUUGUAGAACAUCAGAACAGAAAAAAACGCAAAUGGGGCUGAAGACUUUCCAAGCCAGAAAAUACUUGAGAUAACCGUAAAAAUGUAGCUGAAGGGAGCAUGACAAGAGCUAUUGAACCAUCAAAGGAAUGGGCGUAAUCAUACCAUAUCUGCACUGUGAAGGUUGACAGCUCAUUUUCUUUCUCGAUAUACAUCUGAAUUUGCAAUCUGUAUUCAAUCCCAUGAGGCAUAACUUUUCAUGUUACCUAACUGCAGUUCUUCACCAUUGAACUGGGAAGUAAAUAAGACCUGUCGAUGGAGAGCCAGAUGCAGGAUUAAUAAUUAUCAUAUACUAGAAGAUCUAACAGAGUUUCUUUGUGGUCAAGAAUCCAAAUUCUUAUUCAUUAAUGAACACAAAAUUGCAAAAUAGGCAUGUUUCAAGUUGUAGAAUCUGCCCAAAAUAUGGGAGGCUAAAGCAUCCCUAAACGGACACAGCUAAUCAACCAAGUAAAACAGAAUUCCAUUCACAAGGAAACUAACGUUUAUAGAAAAUCCCAUACUGGUAUGGUAAAUUGUAAGGCAUUUACAUCUGAGACUGGGCAAGUCUGCACAUCAUUCUGUAAAAUUAGUUCAUGAAAUAUAUUACUUGUCUACGACUUAAUUGGUCUACCAUCAUGUGGUGCAUAUAAGCAGCAUUUUGUAUAUUUUAAAACAGAUCAAACAACGGCAGCACCAAAAAGAUAAGAGCAAAAUUGAAACAGUAAGUUUCUUGCAAGUAC
rnacentral:lncRNA from 1 species